UCCACAUUUCAUUUCCCGAACAAUUCAUCAUUUAUAAUCAAGGCAUCUUUCUUUCUCUCUCUCUCUCUCUCUCCACCUUCCAUUCUCUUCCGCAGCAGUGGUCCUCCUCUUCCCUUCCUCCAAGUACUGUCUAUCCUCUCUCCAUAGCUACCGCAUAUAUACAUAUACGUAUGCGUGUGUAUAGAUGCCUGAGCUGUGAAUCGUUUGAUCUGAGUGUUUUUGGCAUCGAGGAUGGUGAUCGAUCCGACCUGUUUAGGCUUCUAGAUCUAGACGACGGAUUGUGGAUUUUAUAGCAAUUAGUUACGAGGAAAUGGAAAAUGAUUGGACUCGUUUAAUUUCUUCGAGAUCUGUAGUGAUUAGAGCUAUAGCUAUGGUUGUUGUCUGCAAAAUUUAGCCGACGACGACAUUUCGAUCUCUUCCGUAGAGCAACCUCGGCGGCUCUAAUGAAGCGGUCCGUGAGGCCGCUAUUCAGCGUGCUUCUUCUCGUUGUGGUGGCUGUCACUCUGAGCUGCCGCGUCGCCGUCCGAAGGGGAUUAAGUCGCGUGCCUUUGAUGGAGAGGCCGCUGGUGGUGCCGCCGCCGCCGCCGCCGCCGCAGGCAUUGUUGAACGCGACGCUGCUGAAACUCGCGGCGGUUGAUUUGGGGGAACCGCGUCUAAAGGAGGACGUUGACGACUUGUUGGAAUCUAAUUUCUGGAGUAAGGGUCGGCACCGGUCGUUCCUGUCAUCGGUGAGAUACAGUCGAGUUGAUAUCCGGCCGAGGACUUCGAGGGGCCUUCCGGUGCAGCUCCGGUCGCCGCAGUUCUACCGAUUGUGGUUGGAUUUCAGGAGGAAUUUGCACCACUGGUGGCGGAACAAGCGGUUCCAUCCAGAUAUAAUGUUGGAGUUAGCGUGGCUAGUUAGGGUUCCGAUUGAUCAGCAUAAUGGAUUAGUGACUUCACAAAAAACACGAUACUCUUCUUGUGCCGUAGUGGGGAACAGUGGGAUUUUGCUGAGGAAUGAACUCGGUGAGCUGAUUGAUAGCCACGAAGUGGUAAUUCGAUUAAACAAUGCGAGGACAAGUGGUUUUGAGCACAAUGUGGGCUCUAAAACUAGCAUUUCCUUUGUUAACAGCAAUAUAUUGCAUUUGUGUGCUCGAAGAGAGGGCUGUCCUUGCCAUCCCUAUGGUGCAACUGUCCCUAUAGUCAUGUAUAUUUGCCAGCCUGUCCAUGUCAUGGAUUACACAUUGUGCAAUUCUUCUCACAAAGCGCCUUUGCUCAUCACAGACCCACGGUUUGAUGUGUUGUGCACUCGGAUUGUGAAGUAUUACUCUCUGAAACGAUUUGUAGAGCAGAUGAAGAAGCCCUUGGAAGAUUGGGGGACUGCCCAUGAUGGUUCUCUGUUCCAUUACUCUUCGGGUAUGCAAGCUGUGAUGCUCGCUGUUGGAAUCUGUGAUAAAGUUAGCAUUUUUGGGUUUGGGAAAUCAGCUUCAGCUAAACAUCAUUACCAUACUAAUCAGAAGGCUGAGCUUCAUUUACACGACUAUGAAGCAGAGUACGAUUUUUACCAUGAUCUGGUUGAGAGACCGCAGAACCAAAGAGGAUUUUAGAAUUGAAUGUUGCUUGAAGAUCGGUUUCGAACAAAACUUUACAUAUCAAUGCAGCAAGGGUUAGGGGUUUUGAAGAAAGGAAAUUAUAUUAUUGACAGUUUGCUGCUGUUCAAGUACUUGCUUUGAUGUUGCCUCCUAUCAAUAUACAUGACUACAUGCGGCAUCAAGCGUAACAUCCUUACUGGGACCUGGAAGUGCACCACCCGGAAGUAGAAUUUGAUGUACAUCAGCCUCAUUAUACCGUCCAUUAUUCGUUAACACAACAUUCACGAAGUCUUCAUGAAGUGGUUACCAACUUGUGACUCAACAAACUUGAGUCUUCAAAAAGAACUUGAACUUUUGAUAGAAUGCCAUGGUGAGCGGGAAUCUUAAGCCUUGUUUAGCUAUGUUUAUCUGGGUUUUCCUUUCUUUUGAUAUGUUAUGCAUCUAGGUUGUGUUUGGAAUAAGUAAUUGUCAACAGAAAACGAAAAAAAAAUGAUAGGACAUAAGAAAAAAAAAAACAUUCAUGUUCAUGCUUCACACAUUGCGUUAAAACUUUUCGUCCCGAGGACGUCUGUCUAGUUCGAUUUGAGGUCUCAAGUCUCGACUCUUCAUCCUACUUCCAGUUGGUUGGACUUGGAGCCUGGGCCGUUUGGCUGCAG